ACGCACGCUGGCGGCGUGCUUAACACAUGCCAGUCGAACGGAAAGGCCCUGCUUUUGUGGGGUGCUCGAGUGGCGAACGGGUGAGUAACACGUGAGUAACCUGCCCUUGACUUUGGGAUAACUUCAGGAAACUGGGGCUAAUACCGGAUAGGAGCUCCUGCUGCAUGGUGGGGGUUGGAAAGUUUCGGCGGUUGGGGAUGGACUCGCGGCUUAUCAGCUUGUUGGUGGGGUAGUGGCUUACCAAGGCUUUGACGGGUAGCCGGCCUGAGAGGGUGACCGGCCACAUUGGGACUGAGAUACGGCCCAGACUCCUACGGGAGGCAGCAGUGGGGAAUAUUGCACAAUGGGCGGAAGCCUGAUGCAGCAACGCCGCGUGCGGGAUGACGGCCUUCGGGUUGUAAACCGCUUUCGCCUGUGACGAAGCGUGAGUGACGGUAAUGGGUAAAGAAGCACCGGCUAACUACGUA
rnacentral:rRNA from 1 species